rnacentral:rRNA from 1 species
CAGCAGCCACGGGAAUACGAAGGGUGCAAGCGUUACUCGGAAUUACUGGGCGUAAAGCGUGCGUAGGUGGUGGUUUAAGUCCGUUGUGAAAGCCCUGGGCUCAACCUGGGAAUUGCAGUGGAUACUGGGUCACUAGAGUGUGGUAGAGGAUAGUGGAAUUUCCGGUGUAGCAGUGAAAUGCGUAGAGAUCGGAAGGAACAUCUGUGGCGAAGGCGAUUAUCUGGGCCAACACCGACACUGAGGCACGAAAGCGUGGGGAUCAAACAGGAUUAGAUACCCCAGUAGUCCCUGUCUCUUAUAC